ACGGGUGAGUAACACGUGGGUAAUCUGCCUGACAAUCUGGGAUAACAGGGUGAAAACGCUGCUAAUACCGGAUAAGCUCACAGGGACGGGAGUCCUGGUGAGAAAAGGAGCAAUCCGUUGUCGGAUGAGCCCGCGGCUGAUUAGCUAGUUGGUGGGGUAAAGGCCUACCAAGGCGACGAUCAGUAGCCGGCCUGAGAGGGUGUACGGCCACACUGGAACUGAGACACGGUCCAGACUCCUACGGGAGGCAGCAGUGGGGAAUUUUCCGCAAUGGGCGAAAGCCUGACGGAGCAAUGCCGCGUGAGUGACGAAGGCCUUCGGGUUGUAAAGCUCUGUCUUCAGGGACGAAAAAAAUGACGGUACCUGAGGAGGAAGCCACGGCUAACUACGUGCCAGCAGCCGCGGUAAUACGUAGGUGGCAAGCGUUGUCCGGAAUGACUGGGCGUAAAGGGCGUGUAGGUGGAUUGAUCAGUCGGAUGUGAAAUACCCGGGCUUAACCUGGGAGCUGCAUUCGAUACGGUCAGUCUUGAGUGCAGGAGAGGGUAGUGGAAUUCCCAGUGUAGCGGUGAAAUGCGUAGAGAUUGGGAGGAACACCAGUGGCGAAGGCGGCUACCUGGACUGUAACUGACACUGAGGCGCGAAAGCGUGGGGAGCAAACAGGAUUAGGUACCCUGGUAGUCCACGCCGUAAACGAUGGGUACUAGGUGUAGGAGGUAUCGACCCCUUCUGUGCCGGAGUUAACACAAUAAGUACCCCGCCUGGGGAGUACGGCCGCAAGGUUGAAACUCAAAGGAAUUGACGGGGGCCCGCACAAGCGGUGGAGCAUGUGGUUUAAUUCGACGCAACGCGAAGAACCUUACCAGGUCUUGACAUAGUACUGCAAGGCUAAGAGAUUAGUCC
rnacentral:rRNA from 1 species